rnacentral:lncRNA from 1 species
CACAGUGACUCGGCCUCCAUCGUGCCAACAGGAUGGGCGGAUGCGCAGGCCACAGAGUCCCUGGUUGGUGAGGAAGCUGCCAAUCCUGGUCAUCUCUUGGAGCCGGGCGGGGGUCAGAGUGUGGCUGGAGCACGAUUCACAGCCUCCCAAAGGUGGAAAGCACCAAGCAGGGGCCCAUUAGGGCAAACAGGUGAGCACAACGUGGUCUGUCCAUGCAACGGGCACUACUCAGCAGUGAAAAGCCAGGAGGCACUGACACGCUGCAGCUGGGAUGGACCUUGAAGAUGUGAUGCAACGUUAAAGAAGCCAGGCAGAAAAGGCCCAUUGCUGUGAAACGUCUGGAACAGGCAAAUCUACAGAGACAGAGCAUGGAUUUGUGGUUGCCUGGGGCUGGGGACGAGGGGCAGACAAAGCGACUGCUCAUGGGCACGGGGUUUCCUUUUGGGGGUGAAGACGAUGUGACUGUCAACACCGAGCAUGCUAAGACCCACUGGACUGUACACCGUAAGUGAAUGAAUUACACAGUGUGGAAAUCACAUCUCAAUAGAGCUACUGAACAGCACAG